CCACUUCUGCUGCUGCUGCUAACCUAAAAACGCUUACCUCCCCAACUGAACUCUUAAUUACUACUUCUCAUCCUCCACAAACUAUUCUCUCAUCAAAAUUUCUUUCCUUGUCUUCAAAACCCAAUACCCAUAUUGAGAUAAGCUCUAACAAGAAUAAGAUUUAUGAUGCUGUUGAUUCUUGGAAAUGGAGGGCCAGAGUUUCCUUCUUUCAGGGUCUUUUGAAAAAAGAUUAAGAUGUUAAUAGCCUUAAAGAAGAAUUAUUCGAGGCUAUAGCUCCUCUUGAUCGUGGGGCUAAGGCUACGCCUAAGGAUCAAGAACGAGUUGAUGAGGUUAGAGCUUGAUCUUGAUUAAUUUUCCUUUAAUUAUCAUUAAUUUGAUCCGAUUAUGGAUUAUGCGUUUUGAUCAGAUUGCUCGUAAACUUGAGGCAGUGAACAAGGUAAAGGAGCCUUUGAAGUCUAAUUUGCUGAAUGGAAAAUGGGAGCUCAUAUAUACAACAUUUCAAUCAGUUCUUCAAACAAAGGUUAUUGCUCUGUUCUCUCUCUGUUUAUUUUCCUGCUGUACAUGUUUAACUGAUCUGUAACUGGCGAACUCAAUCUUUCUAACAGAUACUUGUUUCAUAAUUAGUAAUGAUUUGAUUCUAAAUUUAGAUGCAUUUGGCAUGUUAAGAGAAAGGAAAAUAAGAUUAAUUACAGAACCUGUAAUUAACUAUUGUAUGUAAUGUUCUUGAAACAGAGGCCAAAGUUGUUAAGACCAAAUGGAAAAAUCUACCAAGCAAUUAAUAUUGAUACUCUUAAGAUCUCAAAACAUGGAAACUUGGCCAUUCUUUAAUCAGGUACUUCUUCUUAAUUCUUAUCAAGUAUCUGCAAAAUAUUUCAAUUUUAGUUGCUAGUUUUUCGAGUGAAAAUACGCAAUGUAUUCAUAAAUCUUAGCUUGGAAAAAAAAAUGGCAAGCAACCAUACGACAAUAUGCGGUGGGACCCACACGUGUUGAAAAUAAAUAAAAAGGGCAAACUUAUGGGUCCUAGUGGAACCCAUGAUCUUUGACAAUAGAAAGGAAAAGAGAGAAGGAAAUUCGGCGUACGCGUUAUAUUUUUCGGUGGACGCGUUAUCCUUCUCCUAUAAAUAGGAGAGAGGAUCCAAUGCUUCAAAACACACGAGCAAAAAAUAAAUAAAUAAAAGAGAUUUUUAGAGAGUUCUUCAAGUUUUAGAAAGUGUUCUAAAACUAGUAUAGAGAAAAAUAAUGAAGAUAAUUUUGAGGUGUUUUUGGAAAACACUUUUGAGUGCCACUAUUUUAUAUUACUCUCUUUGUGUACUUACUAUUUUUUUUAGUGCAAGAAAUAUUUAAAUUGGUCCCGUGGACGUAACCCUAAACAGUUAAGGGUGAACCACGUAAAUUUUUUUUUCAUAUUUUUAUUUUUUCGUUGCAUAAUUAUUCUCGUAACUUUUAUCACCGGGCCCUAACAAGUGGUAUCAGAGUUGAAGGUUUCAACAGAUCUAGCCAAGUAGACAGCGGUACCGGAUCCGUAGAUAUAUUUUGAAAAUAAGUAUACCACAAUGACGAGAAAAUAACGACGAAUCCAUUUGUGCAGUUCAUUUAAAAAGACGUUGCAGAAUCAACCUAGUGAUGAAUAGUGAGAUAGUAACUCAAAAUUGGUGGUGAACAGUACUAUUGGCGUUACUGUUGAUAAAUCCAUCACUAUUAAGCCCAGCACUAUUCACACAUAGUACUAUUUACAGGUACUAUUCACGCAUACAGAUACUGUUUACGUAUACUGUUACUAUUCACAUAUACUACUAUCACGUAUAUGGUUUCUAGUGAUGAUAAUAUUCCGCACAAGUCAAAAAUGGACGAUAGAACAACAGGCACAAUGGUUAGACUCAACUCAUCAAACUAUGCAGUAUGGAAGAUAUUAAUGGAAGAUCUUCUAUGCUGCAAAGUUCUCUUUGAAACAAUUGAGUUGAAAGUAGUUAGACCAACUUCAAUAAAUGAGACCGGUCGACUAACAGAAAAGCAGUCGCAACCGUCAGGCAGUCUGUUGAAUGAGCAUCGUAAAUCAUAUCGCUCAUGAGAAAGAUGCCUAUUCAAUUUGGAAGAAGUUGGAGGACAUGUAUGAACGGAAGAAUGCCCAGAACAAAGCUUUUUUAAUCAUAAAGCUUAUAAAUCUGAAGUACAGAGAUGGCGAAAGUGCUUCAGAUCACUUGGGAAAAUUUCAAGAAAUUUUGAACCAACUGACGACGUCAAAAAUAGUGCUAGAAGACCAGUGCAAGCACUAUUCUUAUUGAGUUCCUUGCCGGACAGUUGGGAGACACUGACUGUUACGCUCAGUAAUGUGUCAGAGGGGAAUCUGACNNNNNNNNNNNNNNNNNNNNNNNNNNNNNNNNNNNNNNNNNNNNNNNNNNUACAAGUAGCAACUCAGAUGCACUCGUUACAGUUACAGAAAGGAGGGGGAGAAGCAAAACCAGAUAUCCCAUAAAUCCAAACAAACAUGAAAAUUCACGGAGAAGAUCCAAGUCAAGAAAAGGUGUCACUUGCUAUCAUUGUGGCAAGCCCGAUCACAUCCAAAGGCACUGCAGAAAAUGGAAGAAGGAACGAGCCAAAGAAAAUGAUGAGGAAAAGAAAGACGAUACGGAGGUAGCUUCAAUAACUAUUGAUGUUGACGCACUUGGUGAUGGUAGUGCGCUGAUUUCUCAUGCUCAUCUCAGUGAGUGUUCUACUAGUCAACAAUCUCUUUGGAUUAUUGACUCUGCCUGUUCAUAUCAUAUUUCUUCAAAGAAGAAAUAUUUUUCAUCACUUACUCUCGGAGAUUAAGGCCAUGUCAAGACUUUGAAUGGCACAUAUGUGGAAAAUUGCGGCAUUGGAACAGUAUGCNNNNNNNNNNNNNNNNNNNNNNNNNNNNNNNNNNNNNNNNNNNNNNNNNNNNNNNNNNNNNNNNNNNNNNNNNNNNNNNNNNNNNNNNNNNNNNNNNNNNNNNNNNNNNNNNNNNNNNNNNNNNNNNNNNNNNNNNNNNNNNNNNNNNNNNNNNNNNNNNNNNNNNNNNNUUCAACACCCUCUACUAAACCCAGGUCAAAGUUUGCGCAAGAGUGGUGAAUGCAUUUGAAAAUUCAUCUGCUGAGUUGUGGCACAAACGACUUGGUCGUUUGAGUGAGAAAGGAAUGGAGACUCUCACCAAGAAGAAAAUGCUAUCUUUGAAAGGUUUGCCUUUAAAAAUAUGCGCUGAUUGUUUGUCUGGUAAACAACAUAGAGUUUCCUUUCAAAGAUCCUCUUCUCCUUCUAGAAAGCCUGGUAUUCUAGAAUUGGUACACACUAAUGUUUGCUCAAUGGGUGACAAAUCCUUGAGUGGUUGCUCAUAUUACGUCAGCUUUAUUGAUGACCAUUCUAGAAAGGUGUGGGCCUUACCAUUAAAGUCAAAAGACCAGGUGCUGAUAUGUUUAAAGUCUUUCAUGUCACUGUUGAAAGACAAACAGGAAGAAAGUUGAUAUGUGUUAGAGCUGAUAAUGGUGGUGAGUACAAAGGACCAUUUGAGAAGUAUUGCUCAGAACACGGCAUCAGACUUCAGAAGACAGUUUUCAAAACUCCACAACAGAAUGGAGUUGCAGAGAGAAUGAACAGGACCACUGUUGAAAGGAUUAGAUGUAUGCUCUCUUAUGCUAAACUUCCGAAAGCGCAUACGGUAACUAUUUACGUAUACCACUAUUCUGAAAACUGCAGUACUCAUUGCUUCAGCCCAAAAGGUUUUUGGAAGUUUGGCAUGAGAGAGCAUACAUCUAAUCCUUUCAACAGUGGUCCUGUUCAUUCUCUCUACAACUCCAUUCUGUUGUGGAGUUUUGGGAACUGUCUUCUGAAGUCUGAUGCCGUGUUCUGAGCAAUACUUCUCAAAUGAUCUUCUGUACUCACCACCAUUAUCAGCUCUAACACAUAUCAACUUUCUUCCCGUUUGUCUUUCAACAAUGACAUGAAAGACUUUAAACAUAUCCAAUACCUGGUCUUUUGACUUUAAUGGUAAAGCCCACACCUUUCUAGAAUGGUCAUCAAUAAAGCUGACGUAAUAUGAGCAACCACUCAAGGAUUUGUCACCCAUUGAGCAAACAUUAGUGUGUACCAAUUCUAGAAUACCAAGCUUUCUAGAAGGAGAAGGGGAUCUUUGAAACUCUAUGUUGUUUACCAGACAAACAAUCAGCGCAUAUUUUUAAAGGCAAACCUUUCAAAGAUAGCAUUUUCUUCUUGGUGAGAGUCUCCAUUCCUUUCUCACUCAAACGACCAAGUUGUUUGUGCCACAACUCAGCAGAUGAAUUUUCAAAUGCAUUCACCACUCUUGUGCAAACUUUUGCCUGGGUGUAGUAGAGGGUGUUGAACUUUCUCUCUCUUCUGAACACCAAAUUACCUUUGGAAAGCUUCCACGUCCUGUUAACAAAUAGAUUUGCAUAGCCCAAUUCAUCAAGACAAUGAACUGAGAUCAGAUUGAAAUUUGUCGUAGGAGUGUAUCUCACAUCUUCCAACUANNNNNNNNNNNNNNNNNNNNNNNNNNNNNNNNNUUCCAAUGCCGCAAUUUUUCACAUAUGUGCCAUUCAAAGUCUUGACAUGGCCUUAAUCUCCGAGAGUAAGUGAUGAAAAAUAUUUCUUCUUUGAAGAAAUAUGAUAUGAACAGGCAGAGUCAAUAAUCCAAAGAGAUUGUUGACUAGUAAAACACUCACUGAGACGAGCAUGAGAAAUCAGCGCACUACCAUCAUCAAGUGCGUCAACAUCAAUAGCUACUGAAGCUACCUCCGUAUCGUCUUUCUUUUCCUCAUCAUUUUCUUUGGCUCGUUCCUUCUUCCAUUUUCUGCAGUGCCUUUGGAUGUGACCGGGCUUGCCACAAUGAUAGCAAGUGACACCUUUUCUUGACUUGGAUCUUCUCCGUGAAUUUUCAAGUUUGUUUGGAUUUAUGGGAUAUCUGGUUUUGCUUCUCCCCCUCCUUUCUGUAACUGUAACGAGUGCAUCUGAGUUGCUACUUGUACCAUUCUCCUUAGGUCUAUUUUCUUCAUUCAGAAUACUUUCUUUAACUGUGGUUAAGGUCAGAUUCCCUUCUGACAUAUUACUAAGCGUGACAAUCAGCGUCUCUCAACUGUCCGGCAAGGAACUCAAUAAGAAUAGUGCCUGCACCUAGUCGUCAAACACUAUUUUUGACGUCGUCAGUUGGUUCAAAAUUUCUUGAAAUUUUCCCAAGUGAUCUGAAGCACUUUCGCCAUCUCUGUACUUCAGAUUUACAAGCUUUAUGAUUAAAAAAGCUUUGUUCUGGGCAUUCUUCCGUUCAUACAUGUCCUUCCAACUUCUUCCAAAUUGAAUAGGCAUCUUUCUCAUGAGCGAUAUGAUUUACGAUGCUCAUUUCAACAGACUGCCUGAUGGUUGCGACUGCUUUUCUGUUAGUCGACUUCAAAUCGGUCUCAUUUAUUGAAGUUGGUCUGACUGCUUUUAACUCAAUUGUUUCAAAGAGAUCUUUGCAGCAUAGAAGAUCUUCCAUUAAUAUUUUCCAUACUGCAUAGUUUGAUGAGUUGAGUCUAACCAUUGUGUCUGUUGUUCUAUCAUCCAUUUUUGACUUGUGCAGAAUAUUAUCACCAACAGAAACCGUAUACGUGAAUAGUAGUAUAUGUGAAUAGUAACAGUAUACGUAAACAGUACAUACAUGCGUGAAUAAUAACUGUAAAUAGUACUAUGCGUGAAUAAUGCUGGGCUUAAGAGUGAUGAGUUCAGCAACAGUAAUGACAAUAGUACUAUUCACCAUCAAUUUUGAGUUACUAUUUUAUUAUUCAUCACUAGGUUGAUUCUGCAACGUCUUUUUUUUAACGGACUGCACCAAUGGAUUCGUCGUAAUUUUCUCGUCGUUGUGGUAUAUUUAUUUUCAAAAUAUAUCCACGGAUCCGGUACUGCUGGCUGGAUAUGUUUAAACCUUCAACUCUGAUACCACUUGUUAGGGACCGGUGAUAAAAAUUAUGAGAAUAAGUAUGCAAUGGAAAAAUAAAAAUAUGACAUACAAAAAUUUACGUGGUUCACCCUUAACUGUUUAGGACUACGUCCACGGGACUUCCAAAUAUUUCUUCCACUAAAAAAAUAGUAAGUACACAAAGAAAGCAAUACAAUAUAGUGGCACUCAAAAGUGUUUCUCGAAAAAACUCCAAAUUAUCCUCACUAUUUUUCUUUACCCUAGUUUUAGAACACUUUCUAAAACUUGAAGAACUCUCUAAAAAUCUCUCUUAUUUUUUUUUCUUUUGCUCUUGUGUGUCUUAAAGCAUUGCAUCCUCUCUUAUUUGUAGGAGAAGGACAACGCAUCCACCGAAAAAUAUAACACCGUCUACCGAAUUUCCUUUUCUUUUUUUCUUUUUAUUGUCAAAGCUUGUGAGUCUUACAAGGAUCCAUAUUUUUCCCUUUUUUUAUUUACUUAUUUUCAACAUGUGUGGGUCCUAAUGAGUGGCACCACACAACAAAUUGGUAUCAGAGCACAAAUAUCAACAAUUUUUCACCUUGAUUCAUUUUCAUGUAAAAAUUCCCAAUUUUCCAUAUUAUAUAGACACGUGCCUAAAAACAGUGGACUAAGCUCCAUAUCCGCAAAUUGAGAAAAAACGAACUUUCAAAAAGAAUAAAAAAUCAAAAGGUUCUACUGCUCCACCACCACUAAUGGCCGCCACCGCUUCUGCUGCUAACCUAAAAACACUUAUCUCCCCAACUGAACUCUUAAUUACUACUUCUCAUCCUCCACAAACUAUUCUCUCAUCAAAAUUUAUUUCCUUGUCUUCAAAACCCAAUACCCACACUGAGAUAAGCUCUAACAAGAAUAAGAUUUAUGAUGCUGUUGAUUCUUGGAAAUGGAGGACCAGAGUUUCCUUCUUUCAGGGUCUUUUGAAAAAAGGUAAAGAUGUUAAUAGCCUUAAAGAAGAACUAUUCGAGGCUAUAGCUCCUCUUGAUCGUGGGGCUAAGGCUACACCUAAGGAUCAAGAACGAGUUGAUGAGAUUAGAGCUUGAUCUUGAUUAAUUUACCUUUAAUUAUCAUUAAUUUGAUCAGAUUAUGGAUUAUGCGUUUUGAUCAGAUUGCUCGUAAACUUGAGGCAGUGAACAAAGUAAAGGAGCCUUUGAAGUCUAAUUUGCUGAAUG
rnacentral:lncRNA from 1 species